rnacentral:snoRNA from 1 species
GUAUACAUUUCAUUGUCUUUUUUCUUUUUAUCAAAAGAAAAGAUAUUUCUGAUGUACUAAACAAACCUUUGGAGGUAAAUUAGUAGUAUGACUAAUUUAGUCAUUGCUGUCAGGCAAGUAAAAA